GUGCUUGCUUCAGCAGCACGUAUACUAAAAUUGGAAUGAUAUGGAGAAGAUUAGCAUGAUCCCUAAUGACAUGAAAAUUUGUGAAGUAUUCCAUAUUUUU
ensembl:snRNA U6 U6 spliceosomal RNA